GCGCCCGUAGCUCAGCAGGAUAGAGCGGCGGUUUCCUAAACCGCAGGUCGCGUGUUCGAAUCACGCCGGGCGCG
rnacentral:tRNA from 1 species